rnacentral:snoRNA from 1 species
AUCCUUUGCUUGUUCAUAAGCACUAUGAUUGGUUGUUUAUAUGCUUAAAACUUGUUACUCAUUUGGCUCAUAACCCAUCUAACA